GGCACGCCUAACACAUGCAAGUCGAACGAAGUAGCAAUACUUAGUGGCAGACGGGUGAGUAACAUGUAGGUAUCUGCCCUUUGGCCUGGAAUAACACGAGGAAACUUGUGCUAAUACCGGAUAAGUCUUUACGGAGAAAGCUUUAUGCACCAUUGGAUGAGCCUGCACUUGAUUAGUUUGUUGGUGGGGUAAUGGCCUACCAAGACUAUGAUCAAUAGCUGAUUUGAGAGGAUGAUCAGCCACAUUGGGACUGAGACACGGCCCAAACUCCUACGGGAGGCAGCAGUGGGGAAUCUUGCACAAUGGAGGAAACUCUGAUGCAGCGAUGCCGCGUGAGUGAAGAAGGCCCUUGGGUUGUAAAGCUCUUUCGUCGGGGAAGAAAAUGACUGUACCCGAAUAAGAAGGUCCGGCUAACU
rnacentral:rRNA from 1 species